GCGGACGGGUGAGUAAUGUCUGGGAAACUGCCUGAUGGAGGGGGAUAACUACUGGAAACGGUAGCUAAUACCGCAUAACGUCGCAAGACCAAAGAGGGGGACCUUCGGGCCUCUUGCCAUCGGAUGUGCCCAGAUGGGAUUAGCUAGUAGGUGGGGUAACGGCUCACCUAGGCGACGAUCCCUAGCUGGUCUGAGAGCAUGACCAGCCACACUGGUACUGAGACACGGUCCAGACUCCUACGGGAGGCAGCAGUGGGGAAUAUUGCACAAUGGGCGCAAGCCUGAUGCAGCCAUGCCGCGUGUAUGAAGAAGGCCUUCGGGUUGUAAAGUACUUUCAGCGGGGAGGAAGGUGUUGUGGUUAAUAACCUUGUCGAUUGACGUUACCCGCAGAAGAAGCACCGGCUAACUCCGUGCCAGCAGCCGCGGUAAUACGGAGGGUGCAAGCGUUAAUCGGAAUUACUGGGCGUAAAGCGCACGCAGGCGGUCUGUCAAGUCGGAUGUGAAAUCCCCGGGCUCAACCUGGGAACUGCAUUCGAAACUGGCAGGCUAGAGUCUUGUAGAGGGGGGUAGAAUUCCAGGUGUAGCGGUGA
rnacentral:rRNA from 1 species